UAGAUCCUCACCCAGCCUGAAAGAGAAAAUUAAGAUCCAAUAAACACAUACCAUUUCUAUAUGAUCCUUCUUUGGAAGCAGGAGUAGACACUGCAUUUGGGAGCCACCUCUGCUUCCAGAACACUUGUCUCUUCCAAGAGCUGGAUUCAGUAUCAAAAGGUGAGCUCUUUCGUAGAAUGCUAUACUCAACAAAGAGUCAGGACACAUUCUUAUAAAAAUCAAAGCAUUUGACCACUAAGAGGUGAAAUUGCUGGAACAUAGGGUAUACACAUCUAAUAGUUUUAUACUGCUAGGUUUUUGUCCAGUGGGGCUGGACCAACUAAAUUCAUUUUCUACUCCCAUGUGUGAUGCAUUUCCACUCACCUGUACCAACCUUAGUACACAUUCAUUUUCCCUUUCUAAAAAACAGAGACAAAAACACAAUAGCCAGCUCACUAAAAUUCAACCUCUAAAAUAUAUCCGGUCAUAGAGAGAUCUAAAAUGAAUUUGAUGGGCAUCAAUAUGAACCUUCACCCUCUGCUUCUACCCUGAAAUGCAGGCCACACACAUACUCUUCAGCCUGAUGUUGUUCUAGAAUUAACUGUGCACUUCUUUCAUGAGAUGACAUUCAAGCCACACAAAGACAGCAAGGUCAAUGAGGGCUAGAAGGGAAAGUAAGCAUGGCUCAUAAAACCAAGAGGUACUUAAGAUUUAACAAGAUUAACAAGUGCUAUUGAAAAGAGCUACCUGGCCUGAGUCACAGGCAGGGAGAAAGAUGCCAGCUCAAUUCUCCUGGCCUCACUAAAAUCUUGCAUGCAAUUGCAAUAAAGCUCUUUGGAAAGUGA